UACGUAGGUGGCGAGCGUUGUCCGGAUUUACUGGGCGUAAAGAGCGCGCAGGCGGUCGUUCAAGUCGCGUGUGAAAGCCCCCGGCUCAACUGGGGAGGGUCACGCGAUACUGAUCGACUCGAAGGCGGGAGAGGGUAGUAGAAUUCCCGGUGUAGUGGUGAAAUGCGUAGAUAUCGGGAGGAACACCAGUGGCGAAGGCGACUACCUGGCCUGUUCUUGACGCUGAGGCGCGAAAGCUAGGGGAGCAAACGGG
rnacentral:rRNA from 1 species